UACGUAGGGUGCAAGCGUUGUCCGGAAUUAUUGGGCGUAAAGAGCUCGUAGGCGGUUUGUCGCGUCUGCUGUGAAAACCCGAGGCUCAACCUCGGGCCUGCAGUGGGUACGGGCAGACUAGAGUGCGGUAGGGGAGAUUGGAAUUCCUGGUGUAGCGGUGGAAUGCGCAGAUAUCGGGAGGAACACCAGUGGCGAAGGCGGCGAUCUGGGAAGAUACUGACGCUGAGGUGCGAAAGCGUGGGGAGCAAACAGG
rnacentral:rRNA from 1 species